GGGCUGGAACCUCUCGGGGUUACAGCCUUGCUGAAUUAUUCACCCUUGUCUUUUGCGUACUUCUUGUUUCCUUGGUGGGUUCGCCCACCACUAGGACAAACAUAAACCUUUUGUAAUUGCAAUCAGCGUCAGUAACAAAUUAAUAAUUACAACUUUCAACAACGGAUCUCUUGGUUCUGGCAUCGAUGAAGAACGCAGCGAAAUGCGAUAAGUAGUGUGAAUUGCAGAAUUCAGUGAAUCAUCGAAUCUUUGAACGCACAUUGCGCCCUUUGGUAUUCCAAAGGGCAUGCCUGUUCGAGCGUCAUUUGUACCCUCAAGCUUUGCUUGGUGUUGGGCGUCUUGUCUCUAGCUUUGCUGGAGACUCGCCUUAAAGUAAUUGGCAGCCGGCCUACUGGUUUCGGAGCGCAGCACAAGUCGCACUCUCUAUCAGCAAAGGUCUAGCAUCCAUUAAGCCUUUUUUUCAACUUUUGACCUCGGAUCAGGUAGGGAUACCCGCUGAACUUAAGCAUAUCAAUAAGCGGAGGAAAG
rnacentral:rRNA from 1 species